CUCACAACUAAUCUUAAGCAUCCUUAAUUAGCUCUACUAAUCUCAAUCCAGGAGAUCGAUCAAACGAAGUGCGGAGAAAAUGAGAACUGUUAUUGUUGUUGUUAUGUUGGUGAUGAUGAUGAGUUGUUGCAUGGCUACAAGUAGGAGUUUGAACAAUUAUGAGCAGCAGCCUGAAGGAGGAGGAGGAACAAGAACAAUGGAUAAUCAUCAUUAUAUGAGUAGGGAUCAAUUCAAUGACAAGUAUGGUGGUGGAGGUGCCUCUCCCAUAAAUGAUAAAACAGAUGAUGGAAAAGUCUAAAAUAUGUAACCCUAGCUAGCUACCAAAAAUAAUGCUCUUGAAAUGAUAUAAAAUAUGGAGUAUUGAUAUAUGAAUGUUACAUAUAUCUUAUUGGUAGUCUGUUUCCAUUACACCCCUUAGAAGAUGAUCUUUUUGACUCUGCUAAUGCAGAAUGGUUUGUGGAUCGGACUAUUUAUCUAUCUAUCUAUAUAUAUUAGUAUUAGUAAAUGCGAAUAAGAUGUGGUCAGAGUUCAUCUCCAUGUAAUUUGACCUUAUGUAAAUAUUCAUGGUUGUAAAUGUGUGUGUAUAUACAAAUAUGAUAUUGCUUUGGGUAUUGUAAUUGAAGUUAUGUUAUUGGAGUUCACGUUGAAGGUUUUUUUUU